rnacentral:tRNA from 1 species
GCGGUGGUGGUUCAGUAGUAGAAUUUUUGUCUUCUGUAUGGGAGAUCUGGGUUCAAUUCCCAGCCACUGCA